UGAUCCACAGAGCUGAAGAAAAGCAGUAGAGAACUGAGUGGCAGUGGAAGGGUUAAUAAUCCGACAGCACCGAACAGCGCGAGUUUUAACUGCAGUAGGUGUCAAACUAACACUGAAUCAAACAGGCAGGUGAUCCGAGAACACAGUCACAUAUUUCCAGGUUAGUCACAGGCAGACCGCAGGACUAGAGUUGUUUUAGUCCUUUUUCCCGUAUUCUGAGGCAUGCUCUUCACAUGUGUGCUGUCUGAGCAAACUGUGGAGCUUGUAACCCGUCUGUGAGUGACAGAAGUGACAACUUGUGGAGAAAUAGCUGCGAACAUCCUAUGAAUACGAAUGCGACACACUCCAACGUGUGUGAGCUUCGCCAGCUAAGAGAACAGCCAGUUCACGGGAAGAGGAUGACUGAGUGAUUUUGUGAUAAAUUGGAUAGAAAUGCACAGCAGCUGGAUCCAGAUUGACAGCUCCAAGUCAAUGAACACCCAGCGCAAGGCAGUUCUUCAAGCGUGCAGAACUUGGACCCACUGAGGGAAAUAAGGAGAGACGCUGCUGUCAGGCUGCUGUUUGAAGAAUGAACACACAAACAUUAAGAGUAAGACUGAGUGGAGGCGAGGGGGGUUGGUGAUGGUGCUAUUUGGAGAAUCAGCACAGAUGCAUUGACUGACAAUCCCCCGCUAAAUGGUUUUGCAGCAGAAUUAUUGCUUUACAAGCUGUAUUUUCUCCUGUGAGCAGCGUUAUGCUGUUCACUGGAUCGAUUAAUUUCGUAUCUAAUGAUAUCUGUGCGCGCUGAAUGCUCAAAAAGUUGCAGGAUUUCAGAGUUCCCAGAGGAAAAGCUGUAAAUCACAGAGACUUUGAGGAGGAGACCAGAUAACAGAACAUCAUGGGACGACGGAGUUCAUUAAAACAAACAAUUACAAGAACCAUUAAUGAACUUUUCUCUGCAACUAGGAAAAUAAAAAAUCUAAAACA